rnacentral:pre_miRNA from 8 species
AUCUUUGGUUAUCUAGCUGUAUGAGUGUUAUUCAUUCUUCAUAAAGCUAGAUAACCGAAAGU